rfam:Natranaerobius trueperi strain DSM 18760 ZB100048, whole genome shotgun sequence.
UCCACCGCGAGGUGGAGUCUGAAGGAAGCUUAAUGUAAACUCUCGGUCUGACGAACAAAAAUCACAUAUAAGGCAUAUUUGGUUGGAUGAGUGUGCCUUACAACAUAAAUUCUGUAUUUGUCAACCGAAAAUUCCCCCACUUUGACAUAAAAAAUAAUUGC